AGCUUGCUAGAAGAUGACGAGUGGCGGACGGGUGAGUAAUGCUUGGGAACUUGCCUUUGCGAGGGGGAUAACAGUUGGAAACGACUGCUAAUACCGCAUAAUGUCUUCGGACCAAACGGGGCUUCGGCUCCGGCGCAAAGAGAGGCCCAAGUGAGAUUAGCUAGUUGGUAAGGUAACGGCUUACCAAGGCGACGAUCUCUAGCUGUUCUGAGAGGAAGAUCAGCCACACUGGGACUGAGACACGGCCCAGACUCCUACGGGAGGCAGCAGUGGGGAAUAUUGCACAAUGGGGGAAACCCUGAUGCAGCCAUGCCGCGUGUGUGAAGAAGGCCUUCGGGUUGUAAAGCACUUUCAGUUGUGAGGAAAAGUUAGUAGUUAAUACCUGCUAGCCGUGACGUUAACAACAGAAGAAGCACCGGCUAACUCCGUGCCAGCAGCCGCGGUAAUACGGAGGGUGCGAGCGUUAAUCGGAAUUACUGGGCGUAAAGCGCACGCAGGCGGUUUGUUAAGCUAGAUGUGAAAGCCCCGGGCUCAACCUGGGAUGGUCAUUUAGAACUGGCAGACUAGAGUCUUGGAGAGGGGAGUGGAAUUCCAGGUGUAGCGGUGAAAUGCGUAGAUAUCUGGAGGAACAUCAGUGGCGAAGGCGACUCCCUGGCCAAAGACUGACGCUCAUGUGCGAAAGUGUGGGUAGCGAACAGGAUUAGAUACCCUGGUAGUCCACACCGUAAACGCUGUCUACUAGCUGUGUGUGCCUUUAAGGCGUGCGUAGC
rnacentral:rRNA from 2 species